rnacentral:rRNA from 1 species
GAUGAACGCUGGCGGCGUGCCUAAUACAUGCAAGUCGAGCGAACGGACGAGACGCUUGCUUCUCUGAUGUUAGCGGCGGACGGGUGAGUAACACGUGGAUAACCUACCUAUAAGACUGGGAUAACUUCGGGAAACCGGAGCUAAUACCGGAUGAUAUUUUGAACCGCAUGGUUCAAAAGUGAAAGACGGUCUUGCUGUCACUUAUAGCUGGAUCCGCGCUGCAUUAGCUAGUUGGUAAGGUAACGGCUUACCAAGGCAACGAUGCAUAGCCGACCUGAGAGGGUGAUCGGCCACACUGGAACUGAGACACGGUCCAGACUCCUAAGGGAGGCAGCAGUAGGGAAUCUUCCGCAAUGGGCGAAAGCCUGACGGAGCAACGCCGCGUGAGUGAUGAAGGUCUUCGGAUCGUAAAACUCUGUUAUUAGGGAAGAACAUAUGUGGAAGUAACUGUGCACAUCGUGACGGUACCUAAUCAGAAAGCCACGGCUAACUACGUG